rnacentral:rRNA from 1 species
UACGUAGGGCGCAAGCGUUGUCCGGAAUUAUUGGGCGUAAAGAGCUCGUAGGCGGUUUGUCGCGUCGGCUGUGAAAACCCGAGGCUCAACCUCGGGCCUGCAGUCGAUACGGGCAGACUAGAGUGUGGUAGGGGAGACUGGAAUUCCUGGUGUAGCGGUGAAAUGCGUAGAUAUCGAGAGGAACACCUGCGGCGAAGGCGGGUUGCUGGGCUGAUACUGACGCUGAGGCGCGAAAGCUAGGGGAGCGAACGGG